UCGAGAAUCUUCGGCAAUGGGCGAAAGCCUGACCGAGCGACGCCGCGUGAGGGAAGAAGGCCUUCGGGUUGUAAACCUCUUUCGUAGAGGAGGAAGGGGCCGUGCAGAGCGGUCUUUGACCUAUUCUAGGAAGAAGCUUGGGCUAAGUUCGUGCCAGCAGCCGCGGUAAGACGAACCAAGCGAACGUUAUUCGGAAUUACUGGGCUUAAAGCGCGUGUAGGCGGAUGACCACGUCAGUCGUUGAAAUCCCCCGGCUCAACCGGGGAACAGGCGCUGAUACGAGUUGUCUUGAGGUGGGUAGGGGAGACUGGAACUUCCGGUGGAGCGGUGAAAUGCGUUGAGAUCGGAAGGAACGCCCGCGGCGAAAGCGAGUCUCUGGACCCAUUCUGACGCUGAGACGCGAAAGCCAGGGGAGCAAACG
rnacentral:rRNA from 1 species